GAUGAACGCUAGCGGCAGGCCUAAUACAUGCAAGUCGAACGGUAAGGCCCUUUCGGGGGUACACGAGUGGCGGACGGGUGCGUAACGCGUAUGCAACAUGCCUUCCAGCGGGGGAUAUACCAGGGAAACUUGGCGCAAUACCCCAUAGAAUUACGGGACCGCAUGGUCUUGUGAUUAAAACUCCGGUGCUGGGAGAUUGGCAUGCGUGACAUUAGCUAGUUGGCGGGGUAACGGCCCACCAAGGCGACGAUGUCUAGCUGGUCUGAGAGGAUGAUCAGCCACACUGGGACUGGGACACGGCCCAGACUCCUACGGGAGGCAGCAGUAGGGAAUAUUGGACAAUGGGGGGAACCCGUACGAUCCAGCCAUGCCGCGUGAGGGAA
rnacentral:rRNA from 1 species